CCUACGGGCGGCAGCAGUGGGGGAUAUUGCACAAUGGGGGGAACCCUGAUGCAGCGACGCCGCGUGGGUGAAGAAGAGCCUCGGCGCGUAAAGCCCUGUCAGCAGGGAAGAAAAUGACGGUACCUGAAGAAGAAGCCCCGGCGAACUACGUGCCAGCAGCCGCGGGAAGACGUAGGGGGCAAGCGUUAGCCGGAUUUACUGGGGGGAAAGGGGGCGCAGCCGGCGAUGCAAGCAAGGAGUGAAAGCCCGGGGCCCCCCCCCGGGACUGCUCUUGGAACUGCGUGGCUGGAGUGCAGGAGGGGCAGGCGGAAUUCCUGGUGUAGCGGUGCACUGCGUCGAUAUCAGGAG
rnacentral:rRNA from 1 species